rnacentral:rRNA from 1 species
ACGGGGAGCACCACAACAGGUGGAGCCUGCGGUUUAAUCGGACUCAACGCCGGGAAACUCACCAGAUAAGACAGCUGAAUGAUAGUCGGGCUGAAGACUCUACUUGACUAGCUGAGAGGAGGUGCAUGGCCGUCGUCAGUUCGUACUGUAAAGCAUCCUGUUAAGUCAGGCAACGAGCGAGACCCACGCCAACAGUUGCCAGCUCGUCCUCCGGGAUGGUGGGGACACUGUUGGGACCGCCUCUGCUAAAGAGGAGGAAGGAAUGGGCAACGGUAGGUCAGCAUGCCCCGAAUUAUCUGGGCUACACGCGGGCUACAAUGGGUGGGACAAUGGGUAUCGACACCGAAAGGUGAAGGCAAUCUCCUAAACCCAUCCGUAGUUCGGAUUGUGGGCUGCAACUCGCCCACAUGAAGCUGGAAUCUGUAGUAAUCGUGUCUCAAAAUGGCACGGUGAAUAUGUCCCUGCUCCUU